UACGUAUGGUGCAAGCGUUAUCCGGAUUUACUGGGUGUAAAGGGAGCGUAGACGGCUGUGUAAGUCUGAAGUGAAAGCCCGGGGCUCAACCCCGGGACUGCUUUGGAAACUAUGCGGCUAGAGUGUCGGAGAGGUAAGUGGAAUUCCCAGUGUAGCGGUGAAAUGCGUAGAUAUUGGGAGGAACACCAGUGGCGAAGGCGGCUUACUGGACGAUGACUGACGUUGAGGCUCGAAAGCGUGGGGAGCAAACAGG
rnacentral:rRNA from 1 species